GACGAACGCUGGCGGCGUGCUUAACACAUGCAAGUCGAACGGAAAGGCCCUGCUUUUGUGGGGUGCUCGAGUGUCGAACGGGUGAGUAACACGUGAGUAACCUGCCCUUGACUUUGGGAUAACUUCAGGAAACUGGGGCUAAUACCGGAUAGGAGCUCCUGCUUCAUGGUGGGGGUUGGAAAGUUUCGGCGGUUGGGGAUGGACUCGCGGCUUAUCAGCUUGUUGGUGGGGUAGUGGCUUACCAAGGCUUUGACGGGUAGCCGGCCUGAGAGGGUGACCGGCCACAUUGGGACUGAGAUACGGCCCAGACUGCUACGGGAGGCAGCAGUGGGGAAUAGUGCAAAAUGGGCGGAAGCAGGAUGCAGCAACGCCGCGUGCGGGAUGACGGCCUUAGGGUUGUAAACCGCGUUCGCCUGUGACGAAGAGUGAGUGACGGUAAUGGGUAAAGAAGCACCGGCUAACUACGUG
rnacentral:rRNA from 1 species